rnacentral:rRNA from 1 species
UACGUAGGUGGCAUGCGUUGUCCGGAUUUACUGGGCGUAAAGGGCGUGCAGGCGGUUUGUUAAGUUCAGGGUGAAAGCUCCCGGCUCAACUGGGAGAGGUCCUUGGAUACUGGCAGACUUGAGGAGGGUAGAGGAGAGUGGAAUUCCCGGUGUAGUGGUGAUAUGCGUAGAUAUCGGGAGGAACACCAGUGGCGAAGGCGGCUCUCUGGGCCCUACCUGACGCUGAGGCGCGAAAGCCAGGGGAGCAAACGGG